CCAUCAUUUAAAGAAAGCGUAAUAGCUCACUGGUCGAGUCGGCCUGCGCGGAAGAUGUAACGGGGCUAAACCAUGCACCGAAGCUGCGGCAGCGACACUCAGGUGUUGUUGGGUAGGGGAGCGUUCUGUAAGCCUGCGAAGGUGGCCUGUGAGGGUUGCUGGAGGUAUCAGAAGUGCGAAUGCUGACAUAAGUAACGAUAAAGCGGGUGAAAAGCCCGCUCGCCGGAAGACCAAGGGUUCCUGUCCAACGUUAAUCGGGGCAGGGUGAGUCGACCCCUAAGGCGAGGCCGAAAGGCGUAGUCGAUGGGAAACGGGUUAAUAUUCCCGUACUUGGUGUUACUGCGAAGGGGGGACGGAGAAGGCUAUGUUGGCCGGGCGACGGUUGUCCCGGUUUAAGCGUGUAGGUGUGUGUUCCAGGUAAAUCCGGUUCACUUUAACACUGAGGCGUGACGACGAGGCACUACGGUGCUGAAGCAACAAAUGCCCUGCUUCCAGGAAAAGCCUCUAAGCAUCAGGUAACAUCAAAUCGUACCCCAAACCGACACAGGUGGUCAGGUAGAGAAUACCAAGGCGCUUGAGAGAACUCGGGUGAAGGAACUAGGCAAAAUGGUGCCGUAACUUCGGGAGAAGGCACGCUGACACGUAGGUGAAGUGAUUUACUCAUGGAGCUGAAGUCAGUCGAAGAUACCAGCUGGCUGCAACUGUUUAUUAAAAACACAGCACUGUGCAAACACGAAAGUGGACGUAUACGGUGUGACGCCUGCCCGGUGCCGGAAGGUUAAUUGAUGGGGUCAGCGCAAGCGAAGCUCCUGAUCGAAGCCCCGGUAAACGGCGGCCGUAACUAUAACGGUCCUAAGGUAGCGAAAUUCCUUGUCGGGUAAGUUCCGACCUGCACGAAUGGCGUAAUGAUGGCCAGGCUGUCUCCACCCGAGACUCAGUGAAAUUGAACUCGCUGUGAAGAUGCAGUGUACCCGCGGCAAGACGGAAAGACCCCGUGAACCUUUACUAUAGCUUGACACUGAACAUUGAGCCUUGAUGUGUAGGAUAGGUGGGAGGCUUUGAAGUGUGGACGCCAGUCUGCAUGGAGCCGACCUUGAAAUACCACCCUUUAAUGUUUGAUGUUCUAACGUGGACCCGUAAUCCGGGUUGCGGACAGUGUCUGGUGGGUAGUUUGACUGGGGCGGUCUCCUCCUAAAGAGUAACGGAGGAGCACGAAGGUUGGCUAAUCCUGGUCGGACAUCAGGAGGUUAGUGCAAUGGCAUAAGCCAGCUUGACUGCGAGCGUGACGGCGCGAGCAGGUGCGAAAGCAGGUCAUAGUGAUCCGGUGGUUCUGAAUGGAAGGGCCAUCGCUCAACGGAUAAAAGGUACUCCGGGGAUAACAGGCUGAUACCGCCCAAGAGUUCAUAUCGACGGCGGUGUUUGGCACCUCGAUGUCGGCUCAUCACAUCCUGGGGCUGAAGUAGGUCCCAAGGGUAUGGCUGUUCGCCAUUUAAAGUGGUACGCGAGCUGGGUUUAGAACGUCGUGAGACAGUUCGGUCCCUAUCUGCCGUGGGCGCUGGAGAACUGAGGGGGGCUGCUCCUAGUACGAGAGGACCGGAGUGGACGCAUCACUGGUGUUCGGGUUGUCAUGCCAAUGGCACUGCCCGGUAGCUAAAUGCGGAAGAGAUAAGUGCUGAAAGCAUCUAAGCACGAAACUUGCCCCGAGAUGAGUUCUCCC
rnacentral:rRNA from 1 species